rnacentral:rRNA from 1 species
UGGUGGAGUGAUUUGUCUGGUUAAUUCCGAUAACGAACGAGACCUUAACCUGCUAAAUAGAGAUGCAAACUUUUGUUUGUAGGCUCUUCUUAGAGGGACUGACUACGUUUAGUGGUCGGAAGUUUGAGGCAAUAACA